GUUGAACGCUGGCGGCAGGCCUAACACAUGCAAGUCGAGCGGAUGAAGGGAGCUUGCUCCUGGAUUCAGCGUCGGACGGGUGAGUAAUGCCUAGGAAUCUGCCUGGUAGUGGGGGAUAACGUCCGGAAACGGGCGCUAAUACCGCAUACGUCCUGAGGGAGAAAGUGGGGGAUCUUCGGACCUCACGCUAUCAGAUGAGCCUAGGUCGGAUUAGCUAGUUGGUGGGGUAAAGGCCUACCAAGGCGACGAUCCGUAACUGGUCUGAGAGGAUGAUCAGUCACACUGGAACUGAGACACGGUCCAGACUCCUACGGGAGGCAGCAGUGGGGAAUAUUGGACAAUGGGCGAAAGCCUGAUCCAGCCAUGCCGCGUGUGUGAAGCAGGUCUUCGGAUUGUAAAGCACUUUAAGUUGGGAGGACGGGCAGUAAGUUAAUCCCUUGCUGUUUUGACGGUACCAACAGAAUAAGCACCGGCUAACUUCGUG
rnacentral:rRNA from 1 species